rnacentral:rRNA from 1 species
AGUGAACGCUGGCGGUAGGCCUAACACAUGCAAGUCGAACGGCAGCACAGUAAGAGCUUGCUCUUACGGGUGGCGAGUGGCGGACGGGUGAGGAGUACAUCGGAAUCUACUUUUUCGUGGGGGAUAACGUAGGGAAACUUACGCUAAUACCGCGUACGACCUACGGGUGAAAGCAGGGGAUCUUCGGACCUUGCGCGAUUGAAUGAGCCGAUGUCGGAUUAGCUAGUUGGCGGGGUAAAGGCCCACCAAGGCGACGAUCCGUAGCUGGUCUGAGAGGAUGAUCAGCCACACUGGAACUGAGACACGGUCCAGACUCCUACGGGAGGCAGCAGUGGGGAAUAUUGGACAAUGGGCGCAAGCCUGAUCCAGCCAUACCGCGUGGGUGAAGAAGGCCUUCGGGUUGUAAAGCCCUUUUGUUGGGAAAGAAAAGCAGCAGGUUAAUACCCCGCUGUUCUGACGGUACCCAAAGAAUAAGCACCGGCUAACUUCGUG